CUUCGUUUAAAGAGGCUGGAUAAAUAAAUAAUAUACUCGCUAUCCCAACAAACGUCAUUCUGCCUUUUCCAUGGAGGGGCGGAGAUGUUCGUAAUGUAGGAAAUAGGUAAAUUAAUCCUCAUUGCUAGCAAAUUAUCCUAUUGUUUAAUAGAUGAAAAUGGAAUGGUGCAUCCGCCUAUGCUAACGACAUACAAUGAUAAAGCACCAGUGAAGGAUGAAACGAUGACGAUGAAGACAGGAUAAAAACUCAAGUUAGAGCAAACAAUAUCAUGACAUUUCAACUCAUAUUAUACAAGUCUAAGUAUACAAGGUUUUGAUUUUAUGACCGAGCGGCUGCUUGAUGUCAACCGUCUAAUGGAAGAAACAAUAUAUAUUUACAAAAUAUUAUUAACAUCGAUUGAGUAUAUUCGGAGAUUAGUGUGAAUACCAUGAUACGGAACCCUAAAAAGGGUUGAAAAAUAUAAGUACCUAAAUGAAUUCUAUUAGGUGAAUACCUAUAGUGAGUACGAGUGUACAAAUCUAAGGAUAUACAUAUUUCUAGCUCUCACUAUACAUACCCC